GGGGCCGUAGUCUAGCCUGGCUAGGAUGCCAGCCUGGGGCGCUGGUGGUCCCGGGUUCAAAUCCCGGCGGCCCCACCA
rnacentral:tRNA from 1 species